rnacentral:rRNA from 1 species
UACAGAGGGCCCGAGCGUUGUUCGGAUUCAUUGGGCGUAAAGGGUGCGUAGGCGGCGGGGCCAGUCUGAUGUGAAAUCCCGGGGCUCAACCCCGGAACUGCAUUGGAUACUGCCUUGCUAGAGUACUGGAGAGGGAACUGGAAUUUACGGUGUAGCAGUGAAAUGCGUAGAGAUCGUAAGGAAGGCCAGUGGCGAAGGCGAGUUCCUGGACAGUUACUGACGCUGAGGCACGAAGGCCAGGGGAGCAAACGGG